UGACACAUGGAUUAUACAAAAGAAGAGUUUUUAUCACAAAUGGUCCCUGACAUUGAUCAAACUCCUCAUUUUGAUCCCUGAGUUUCAAAAAUCAAUAAAUUUGGUCUCUAACUUUCACAAUCGCACAUCAAUAGAGUCCUUCCAUUAAAAUUUCGUCAAUAUUUUUGUUAGUGUGCUGAUGUGGUCCCACUAGUCCAAUCAUAUGGCACCAAGUGGAUUAACUAUAAGAAACUAAUUUUUUUUAGAGUGAACCAACUGGCGAUUAUUCUGCACUGACAUUUCUCUCACAUCCCAGAAUCCCAAUUGGAAAAUAAAAUAUAAUUUAAUUCGAUAAAAUCGAAUCCAAAUUCAAUUCAAAUUUGAUAGGAUUAUAACCAAUUAGAGAGAAUGAGAAGUGAGUUCACGGAGGACAAGAGCUUUAGUGAUGUCACGGUGCGUUCCUUUUCCUUUUUAGCAUACCUAGAUGAAGACGAUGAUGUCUUUUUUUGUUUUUCCUUUUAGUUUUAGUUUUUAAUUUCUUAUAGUACUUUUAGUUUCAAAUCUUAAUUUUUUUUUAUAAUUAAUCCAUGUGGCGCCAUAUGGUUGGACCAGUGUGAUCAUAUUAUCACACUAACAAAAAAUAUUGACAAAAUUUUAAUGGAAUGACUAAAUUGAUGUGCAGUAGUGAAAGUCAGAGACCAAAUUUAUUGAUUUUUGAAACUCAGGGACCAAAAUAAGGAUAUUGAUCAAUGUCAGGGACCAUUUGUGAUAAAAAUCUUUCUUUUGUGUAAUCCAUGUGUCACUAUUUUAUAAGAUUUGUGGGUUCCACAUGCAAACUAACAGAAAUAGUUGACGAAAUUUAAACGGAAUGACCAAAUUGAUGUGCGGUGGUGAAUGUCAGGGACGACAUUAAUUGAUUUUGAAAGUGAGGGAUCAAAAUGAUGAGUUUGGUCAAUCUCAUGAAUCAUUGGUGAUAAAAACCCUUUUAGUUAUAACCCUCCUUCUAUGACCUCUAUUUUUGGUUGUCUAGUUAGAGUUUAGAUGGAUGCUUGAAGGCUAAGCCAAGCCCACUAAGAUAUAGUAAGAUAGAGAUUAAUAUAAUUCAUCUCCUCAUUGGGUGGAUUGUCUUUACUUGAAAUGAAUUAAAUAAAAAAAUGAAGUAAAUAAAACUAACACAAUGCAUAAACCAUAAUUGAACAUAGGACCUCAACUGCAAAAGUAAAUACUUUUAACUACUUCAAUAGUUUGAGUACAAGUCCAUUGCAGAACCUAUCAUUAUAUAAUAGUACUACUGAUUAGUAGAUAAAUAAUAAGUAUUAACCUUAAAGAGGAAAACAAACGUCAUUAGAUAGUGUAGUACUACAUCAUCUCUUAAUUAUUUAUAAAUAUAAGAAGAGCUUAGCCCAUGUUAUAUAAAACCAUGCCUCUGGAACUGCGAAUUACUACAUACACUUACGGUGCAUGCAUAUAUGCAUGACUUACUAAUAUUUCUAUACUUGAUCAUUCAAUCUUCUUCUUCUUCUUCUUCUUCACUCUCAAUUCCGCGACGACCAUGCGUGUUGCCAAUGUUGAAAACUCCAUUGCCGUCUCCUUUGUUUCCACUGACUCGGUUCCCAGAAACGUUGUAAGACGUACCACUUGUGCCGCUUUUCCCAUUUUUACCCUUUUUGGCCUUGGGACGUCGAGCGGGCGGCGGUGUUGAAUACCAAUUGCUAGAGUAUCCAUAAGUAGAUGGACGCUGAGGCUGAGGUUGAGGUUGAGGAGUGUAGUAGUUCAACCAUAUAUAUGUUGAGAAUUGAAUACUGCACGGGAAAAUUGAAUGAUCUUGCAUGUGCUUAUGAGGAGUUAAGCUAUUCUUUAUAUUUGUCAAUUACUUUGAUUGUGGAACCUUGACUUCAUGGUGUCGAAGCAGGUUACUCACGUGUUGAGCCUACAUUUCACGUGCUUCUACGUCACCUAACAUGUGUUAGGUUACACAUAUUGAUUUUUCUAUUAUACAUCAUAACAUAAACUCGUCACCUAUCCAUCAUAUUAUACAUUUACUAAAACCCAGUUCCAUUGGCAUUGUUUUUCACUAUUCGUGAACAGUGAAAUGUCGAAAAAGCCCUCGGCUACUUCAUGCUUUACCGUUCUAUUUGGCUUUUUAGCAUAGUGAAUUCUUGGUUUUGCCCAUGCUACUCACCUUCAGUAUUUUUCUGUGUGUUCCACAGCCUCUGAUGUGCACGUGUUUGUCAUCGUUGGGAAGGGAAAAGCUCUCGGCUUUUCCAUUGGUUUCCUGGAGAAUCUCUUAGUUGUCUCUUAGAAUCGCGAACCACUCCAUUCGACAGCAUCUCAUCCCUCUUCCUCCUUCAGACAACAUAUCCCUCUAGGCUCCUCCUUCCAUCCUCCUCCUAAGUUGGCCAGCUUCUCCUCCGCUCAUUCUCCUAUGUAUUUUUUUCAUCUUUAUUUUUCCUCAAAUCCCUCUUGCAUUUACCAAUUACCACGUAUAAAUGUAACAUAAUCUCUACUUUCUCGCAUAUCCUUCUUUUUGUUUUCUCCCAGAAGGAAUCAACGCAGCCAACCUCUACCCAUUAGCUACCGCUGCUUACUCGCAAGGCCAUAGGCCACGAAGCUUCGAAUUCAGGGUAGUACCUUGUGGUGGUGAGCACAUGGCCCUUCGCAGAGGCUGUCAGAGCAUCUUGGCGGGUUGUGGAUAAUGAGUUCUUCGUCGUGGAUUCCGUUGUUGAGGAUUGCCCGACUUGCGAGGAACUCAGAUGUGAUGAUACAGUUGGGCGUAGUGGGAGUUCAGAUGAGAACGGAGAAACUACAUUCGAUACUCUGGUCAUGGAUGGCGUAAGUAGCAUUCACGUCAUGCAAGUGAUCAACAAGAAGUAGGGACACCUACCAUAGUGGGCACAACUUAUGAGACUUGGAAUGACGACUGCUUCUUCUUCUUCCAGAUGAUCCCCUGUUUAAUGGUCGUGAGUUUGAAAAUCUUUGGCAAUGAUUUCAAAACAAAGAAAAUAUUUGUUGUUAGUUUCCAUCCACAAUUAAUGAAGGUUUGUUAUAAUUUUUUUCCUUGGUUAGAUAUGUUCUAAUGCUAUGUUUUCCAUUGCACAA